UAUGGAUGCUAUUUCUUCUCUGAACAUUAGGAUAUAACGUAUGCUAUUUUUCCUGCUCGGCACGGCAUUCCCAACAGCUGUGGAAGGCCAGCACACAGUAAUUACCGGAAUUUUCAUUGUGCUCAACGCUGAUGCAAGCCAUGUCCUGGGUGAAGCUGGAAAUGGUGAGGAGAUGCAUUUGUCCACAGAAGCCACUUCCAAGUGGUCAACUGGAGGGAAAUGAGACAGAAAGUUUGCUUUCCCAGCAUGCACUAGAGAAAAAUGAUACUUGAAACCUAAGCUGAGGCCACUGAAACACAUUGAGACAAAAGAUUUGUUUGAAGUCACAGAGGCAGUUUGCAGAAGAGCUAGUCCUACAAACCUGGUUUUCUGGCAUCCACCUAUUCUCAUUUUAUUACCAUUAUUAUACAUUGAAUUUCAAAUGAAUAGAGCAAGUUUAGAAGGAUUUGGCCAAGAAUUUUAAACAGGUUUAAAAUUUGAAGACUUUAUUUGGAC